GAUAAACGCUGGCGGUGUGCUUUAUGCAUGCAAGUCGAACGGGUUCCGCAAGGAAUCAGUGGCAGACGGGUGAGCAACACGUAAGCGACCUACCCUAAAGUGGGGAACAACUCCUAGAAAUGGGAGCUAAUACCGCAUGUGAUCUUUCUUUUAAACUUGGAAGAUUAAAGCCGUAAGGCGCUUUUGGAGGGGCUUGCGUACGAUUAGAUAGUUGGUGAGGUAACGGCCCACCAAGUCGACGAUCGUUAGCUGGUUUGAGAGGACGACCAGCCACACGGGGACUGAGACACGGCCCCGACACCUACGGGUGGCUG
rnacentral:rRNA from 1 species